GACAAACCGUGCGAACGUUGUUCGGAAUCACUGGGCUUAAAGGGCGCGUAGGCGGCAGAUCAAGUCCGGGGUGAAAUCCUCCAGCUCAACUGGAGAAGUGCCUUGGAUACUGAUGUGCUCGAGGGAGGUAGGGGUCCGCGGAACUUCUGGUGGAGCGGUGAAAUGCGUUGAUAUCAGAAGGAACGCCGGUGGCGAAAGCGGCGGACUGGAUCUCUUCUGACGCUGAGGCGCGAAAGCUAGGGGAGCAAACGGG
rnacentral:rRNA from 1 species